rnacentral:lncRNA from 1 species
CAGUGCCACUGGCUCGCCUUCAUCAUUCCAGGACAUCAGGGCUCCAGACACCCGUGCGCCCAGCGUGGCCAACCUACACUUCACCCUGGAGGCUUUUGAGUGCCUGUCCGCGAGCCAAGUGGGCCGCCUGUGGGAACAAGUGAGGCAAUUCUGGGCCGACCACUUCUCUCGUCGCUUCUCGCCACGGAGACCGCCGCUGCGCCAUAUCUCAUCCACGUCCACCUUCUACCUGCUGGACUACCGCACGCGACAGGCCGAGCUGGGGCUCAGCUACGGCGCGCCGCGCACUAGACUGAGCGACGAGGCCUUCGUGUUCCGCGGCGGCCG